rnacentral:rRNA from 1 species
GGGAAUCUUCCACAAUGGACGCAAGUCUGAUGGAGCAACGCCGCGUGAGUGAAGAAGGUUUUCGGACCGUAAAGCUCUGUUGUUGGUGAAGAAGGAUAGAGGUAGUAACUGGCCUUUAUUUGACGGUAAUCAACCAGAAAGUCACGGCUAACUACGUGCCAGCAGCCGCGGUAAUACGUAGGUGGCAAGCGUUGUCCGGAUUUAUUGGGCGUAAAGCGAGCGCAGGCGGAAGAAUAAGUCUGAUGUGAAAGCCCUCGGCUUAACCGAGGAAUUGCAUCGGAAACUGUUUUUCUUGAGUGCAGAAGAGGAGAGUAGAACUCCAUGUGUAGCGGUGGAAUGCGUAGAUAUAUGGAAGAAUACCAGUGGCGAAGGCGGCUCUCUGGUCUGCAACUGACGCUGAGGCUCGAAAGCAUGGGUAGCGAACAGGAUUAGAUACCCUGGUAGUCCAUGCCGUAAACGAUGAGUGCUAAGUGUUGGGAGGCUUCCGCCUCUCAGUGCUGCAGCUAACGCAUUAAGCACUCCGCCUGGGGGAGUACGACCGCAAGGUUGAAAC